GGUAUUCUUAUAACGUAUAUGUUAGUCUACUUGAUGAUGUAAUAUAGAUCUUCAGGAUGUGUUCAUUUAUCUUCAUUACUUUUUUUUUCCUUUUUGUUCCUUAUACUAAAUACUUUCAACUAUCCUAUCUUUGGAUUUUCUGAUCCUUUCUGCUUCCUGUUCAAAUAUGCUAUUGAGCACUUAUCAAUGAAAGUAGCAGUCAGAAAUAACACGUAACCUCAAUAUUUGGAGAACCAUGUCCUCAAUGCUAACCUUGGCUCUAGAAAGCUACAUUAAGAACACAGACAGCAGUCCCUUGGCUCCCUACUAUAAUGAGGUGUGAAGAUGGUAGCCACUGCUGAAUAGGAAAGCUAAAGCUCACUGAGAUCAACUUUUCAACUAGACUCCAGAGUAUCAAAUUAUUUACUUUAGAGAGUUUCUGUCAGUUCAAUAGUUGUUUAAGUGGAGGUAGAGAUUCCAGGAGCUUUCUACUCUGCCGUCUUCUCUGACAUCACUCUUGCUUGAUAUAUUUUGAAGUGGAGUUAUUAACUUUAUAGUUAUUAACUUUAUAGAGCUUUAAAAUUCUUUCCACCUCUAAUUUUAAAAUCCCUAUUUUCACAGUUCUUACAAGUCACAGAAGGCAUUGGCUUACUCUCUGAUCAUUGUCCUGCUGUGAAUGUUAAGGUAAUUAUAGAUGCCAUUCAGCAGAAUGUAGCAACUGCUGGGUUUCUCUCUUCUUAUGGUGAAAAAUCCAGAGUUCCCAUUGUGGCUCAGUGGAAACAAAUCCAUCUAGUAUCCAUGAGGACACAGCUUUGAUCCUUGGCUUUGCUCAGUGGGUUAAGGUUCCAACGUUGCCAUGAGCUGUGGUGUAGAUCGCAGAUGUGGCUCAUAUUCCAAGUUGCUAUGGCUGUGGCAUAGGCUGGCAGCAGUAGCUCUGAUUUCACCCCUAGCUUGGGAACUUAUAUAUGCCUCAGGUGUGGGCCUAAAAAGCAAAUAAAUAAAAGAAAAACUAUCUAGUAGAAGGAAUCAUAUUGAGAACACCAGAAUUCAAGUUACCACCAAAUCAACCAGUGUUGAAUUUACAUCUCCUCCAACCUGCAGUAUCAGUACCCAGAAUACAACAUACCUAGAAACCUGUAUUGAGCAUCCCUUAGGGCAGAGACAGAGAGAGCUCCAGGAGAGGCAGUCUAGCUCUGGUUUGAGUAGGAAAAUGAGCUCCUAACACAGAGGGAGAAUAUGAAAAUACUCCAUUCUCUUCUGGUAUGCCUCAGACCUCAGGCAAUCUCAAGAUGGCAGGGCUGUGGCAACUAUGACACCUAAUAGCUGAAAUCCUGAGGGAGGUGAACCAUCCUCUCCAUUUGAUACAGCUGUGAUUCUAAGAAGGUGGACCAAACCCUUUGCUUUUUCUUUCCUCCUUGCUCUCUUUCCUCCUGCUUCACUGUCUUACAGAUGCAGCCACCAUUGAGAAGUCCAUAGUAGAGUGAGGAAAUUACAGUCACAAAUUUCUGGCUGGAGGCUAGAAAAAAGAAGCAUGGCUUUGAGUAUAUUUACACAAGGAUUUUCGCAAAAGAUAUAAUUCUUUUAUACAAAACAAUUUAGUGGUAUCUAAUAGCAUAAUUAAUAAGAACUCCUCAGACCUAUGUCCAUGCUAAUCUAGCAGGAAUCUAGCUAGUUAAAACAGGUACAUGGACUCAGAGGUAAAUGAAUGAAGAGGAAGGAACUUUGUAAAGACAACUCUGAAUCUUAUUAGUAAACUUCUGGACUCCCCACCACCCCCAAACAGACAUAAACACAUACACACAUACAAGCUGUGCAUACUUACACCUUACCCCAAUUAAGGUACCAAAGACAUGAAACAUAAACUCUUCACAAUGGAACAUUGCCCAAAUUUCAGAUUGGCCACUGGUUGAUGCACUUGCAAGAAAUAUCUACUAAGUGAAGUAAGUCAGACAAAGACAAAUAUCAUAUGAUAUCAAUUAUAUAUGGAAUGUAGUAAAAAUGACACAAAAGGAUGUAUUUAUGAAACAGAAACAAACACAGAUUUUGAAAUCAAACCUAGGGUGACCCCAAGGGGAACCGUGGUGGGGAGAGAUAUAUUGAGAGGAUGGGAUUAACACAUAUACAGUACUAAUAUAAAAUAGAUAGAUAACUAACAAGGACCUACUGAGUAGCACAGGAAGUUCUACUCAACGUUCCGUAAUAACUUUUUUCCAAUUUAUGGAAAAAAGUAUGGAUAUAUGUAUAUGUAUAACGGAUUCAUUUCACUGUACACCUGAAACUAAUACAACACUGUAAAUAAAAAUUUAUUUAAAAAAGAAAGAAGAGAAAAAAAGCAAUAUCUGAAUAACACUACAAAGGCUCUAAAAACUGAGCUGACAUUGGAACCAGAGCCUACAAAAGGUCUGAAGCUAGCCAGAGUGAUUGCCUGCUAAAAUCAAAAAUAUUCCUGUGCUCCAAAGAUUUAAACAAUGUAAAGAAUCUCAUACAAAAUAUUUAUUCAAAAUGUCCAAAAUACAAUCCAAAAUUAUACAGCAUAUGAAUAGUCAUGAAAAGCUUAACUUGCGUGGGGAAAGACAAGCAGUAGAAACCACACCAAGGUGACACAGAUGUUGGAAAUAUUUGGCAAAUAUUAUAAGCAGCUAUUAUAAAUAUACUCAAAAUACAAAAUGAAUGAAGAAAUAAAUGAAAUCAUUUAACAAGAAUUAGAAAUCAUCUUUCCUCAUCUGAAUUACCUUCUCUCUGAGUUGAUUGAUUUCUACUUUUAUCAAAGAUAAAGAAAUUCUUCUGACUUAAAUUAUGACUUUUUUCCCAUAAUUAGUAAAAACCAUUUUUCACUUAAAUCAUCACACAAUUUUUUAAAUUUUAAAUUCAUAUAUAAAUAUGUAAUAUGUGAUAUUAUAUAGUUUAUAUAUAAUUUUUCUUUUUACGGUGCAUCCAAUGUAAUAUAUUUCAUUUGAGCACUCUACUAAGUUUUUACUUGUUCACUUUCUUUUUUUUUUGGCUGCUCCUGCAGCAUGUGGAAGUUCCUGUGCCAGUGAGCCUGUGAUUAAAUCUGUGCCACAGCAGUGACCCAAGCCACUAUAGUGAAAACACUGGGUCCUUAACCCACUGUGCCAGAAGUGAACUCCUUGCUCACUUUUUAAAUUUGAAAAUAUCUUUUACUUACCUUUUAAUAUUUCCUCUCCUAUAAGCUUCCAUGAUAGGUUUUCUACCUUAUUUAAUAAUAAUAAUAUGCAUCUGUGCAACACUUUACAGUAUGUUUUUUUCCUCAGUGAAGUUAAUCAUUUCAUUCUCCAUCAUAAAUUUAACCCAAUUCCUUUCUCUUACAUCUUUCUCUUAAUAAUUCCCUCUCCUUACUUGCUAGGACAAGAAUUUCAAUAUCUGCUUAUAUUUUAUAGGUUUAUAAAUUAUAAACCAAUUUAUGACCUCCAGAACUCCAUCUCUCAUCCUGUUGACCAUUCCAUCACCUUACUACCCCGCUUCCCACACUCACUCCAUGCAGUCCAACUUCUUACCUGGAUUUACACUCAGUUCAGUUGGAAAAAAGUCUUUCUCUACAAUGUUGGUCUCAUGCAUUUUGUCUC
ensembl:lncRNA